GUCCUUUGUUUAGCUGACCUGUGAGGCAGGUGUCGUGUGAGUCGUCUGAUUGGCUGACCUGUGAGUUAGGUGUCGUGUGAGUCAUCUGAUUGGCUGACCUGUGAGGCAGGUGUCGUGUGAGUCAUCUGAUUGGCUGACCUGUGAGGCAGGUGUCGUGUGAGUCGUCUGAUUGGCUGACCUGUGAGUUAGGUGUCGUGUGAGUCGUCUGAUUGGCUGACCUGUGAGUUAGGUGUUGUG